CCUACGGGAGGCAGCAGUGAGGAAUCUUGGUCAAUGGACGAGAGUCUGAACCAGCCAAGUAGCGUGAAGGAUGACUGCCCUAUGGGUUGUAAACUUCUUUUAUAUGGGAAUAAAAUGUUCCACGUGUGGGAUUUUGUAUGUACCAUAUGAAUAAGGAUCGGAUAACUCCGUGCCAGCAGCCGCGGUAAUACGGAGGAUCCGAGCGUUAUCCGGAUUUAUUGGGUUUAAAGGGAGCGUAGGUGGAUUGUUAAGUCAGUUGUGAAAGUUUGCGGCUCAACCGUAAAAUUGCAGUUGAAACUGGCAGUCUUGAGUACAGUAGAGGUGGGCGGAAUUCGUGGUGUAGCGGUGAAAUGCUUAGAUAUCACGAAGAACUCCGAUUGCGAAGGCAGUUCACUGGACUGCAACUGACACUGAGGCUCGAAAGUGUGGGUAUCAAACAGGAUUAGAUACCCUAGUAGUC
rnacentral:rRNA from 1 species